GAUGAAGAACGUAGCGAAAUGCGAUACGUAAUGUGAAUUGCAGAAUUCAGUGAAUCAUCGAAUCUUUGAACGCAUAUUGCGCUCUCUGGUAUUCCGGAGAGCAUGCUUGUUUGAGUAUCAGUAAACACCUCAACUCCCUUUUCUUUUUUGAAAUUGGAGCUGGACUUGAGUGAUCCCAACGCUUUCUUCCAAGAAAGUGGCGGGUUGCUCGAAAUGCAGGUGCAGCUGAACUUUUCUCUGAGCUAUAAGCAUAUCUAUUUAGUCUGCCUAAAAAACAGAUUAUUACCUUUGCUGCAGCUAACAUAAAGGAGACUAGUUCUUGUGCUGACUGAUGCAGGAUUCACAGAGACAGCUUCGGCUGACUUUGUAAACUCGAUCUCAAAUCAAGUAAGACUACCCGCUGAACUUAAGCAUAUCAAUAAGCGGAGGA
rnacentral:misc_RNA from 1 species